rfam:Schistosoma mansoni, Puerto Rico, WGS project CABG01000000 data, contig: 0156
AUCCAGCUGAUGAGUCUCAAAUAGGACGGGACGCUCGUCCUCGAU